rnacentral:rRNA from 1 species
GUGGGGAAUUUUUCGCAAUGGGGGAAACCCUGACGAAGCAACGCCGCGUGGGGGAUGAAGGCCUUCGGGUCGUAAACCCCUGUCGACCGGGACGAACGCAGUCCGACCUAACACGUCGGGCGGUUGACUGUACCGGUGGAGGAAGCCACGGCUAACUCUGUGCCAGCAGCCGCGGUAAUACAGAGGUGGCAAGCGUUGUUCGGAAUUACUGGGCGUAAAGGGCGCGUAGGCGGUUCGGUAAGUCCCGCGUGAAAUCCCCCGGCUCAACUGGGGAACUGCGCGGGAAACUGCCGGGCUUGAGUUCGGGAGAGGGAAGCGGAAUUCCGGGUGUAGCGGUGAAAUGCGCAGAUAUCCGGAGGAACACCGGUGGCGAAGGCGGCUUCCUGGACCGACACUGACGCUGAGGCGCGAAAGCUAGGGGAGCAAACGGGAUUAGAAACCCUAGUAGUCC